rnacentral:rRNA from 1 species
AAUCAACGCUGGCGGCGUGCCUCAGACAUGCAAGUCGAACGCGAAAGUUCCCUUCGGGGGCGAGUAGAGUGGCGCACGGGUGAGUAACACGUAGGUAAUCUACCUUUGGGUGGGGAAUAACAGCCGGAACGGACUGCUAAUACCGCAUAAUGCAGCGGCUCGACAUCGAGACAGUUGUUAAAGCGGGGGNUCGCAAGACCUCGCGCCUAAAGAGGAGCCUGCGG